rnacentral:misc_RNA from 1 species
AGCAGCCGCGGUAAUUCCAGCUCCAAUAGCGUAUAUUAAAGUUGUUGCAGUUAAAAGCUCGUAGUUGAAUUUCGGGAUCAAUUUGCUGGUCGGAACCUCUGGUACGUACUGGUAUUAUUGAUUUCUUUCUUUCUGAUAGAUCAUGGAUGUCAUUAAUUUGAUGACUUUGAGGAAUCGGAACUUUUACUUUGAAAAAUUAGAGUGUUUAAAGCAGGCUUAUCAGGCUUGAAUACAUUAGCAUGGAAUAAUGAAAUAGGACGAUUGAUCCUAUUUUUGUUGGUUUCUAGGAUUGACGUAAUGAUUAAUAGGGAUAGUUGGGGGCAUUAGUAUUCAAUUGUCAGAAGUGAAAUUCUUGGAUUUAUUGAAGACUAACUACUGCGAAAGCAUUUGCCAAGGAUGU